GAAAGGGCGGAGCUGGAGCGGGCCAAGAGCGCCUUGCUGGAGGAGCAGAAGUCUGUCAUGCUCAAGUGCGGGGAGGAGCGGCGGCGCCUGGCUGCCGAGUGGGCGGAGUUCUCCGCGCAGCAAAAGCUGAGUAAGGAGCGGGCCGAGCGCGAGGCCGAGCGGGCGCUGCAGGUGGACACCCAGCGGGAGGGCACCCUCAUCAGCCUGGCCAAGGUAGGGCCCAGAGCCUCCGGACAGUGGAGGGCCCAGGGUAGCCUGCGCCCCUCCAUCUGGACACAUCCGCUUCCAGUCUUAGGAAAGGAGAAUGUAGCACUAAUGUCACAAGAGCAUAGGGAUUAAAACAGUAAUCGCAUCAUCAUGCUAACAGCUUCCUCGUAUUGUCCCAGGUGCAUGAUACACAUUUUAUUUGAUCCUCAUAUUCCCAUGACUUUGAUCAUUUAGAAAUGAGGAACCCCAACUUCAGAGCUGAGCCUGCCACAGUCACGUGGCUUGUGAGGGCAGCACUCGGGCUUGGCCCAGGCUUCUCUGGCUCUCCCUGGAAGCCCCUGGCUCCACCACCCCCUCCCAGGGGCAGGGUGGGCAGAGGGGACCCUAGGGUCCUGCACAGAGCGCAGCGCAACUCCUGGGAGGAGAAUGCAGCAGGGCCUCCGCCGUCUCCAGGAGCAGGCUGAGCUGAAGAUCAGGGCCAGCGAGCUCCGGGCCGAGGAGAAGCAGCUGGCAGCGGAGAGAGCAGCCCUGGAGCAGGAGCGGCAGGAGCUGCGGCUGGAGAAGGAGAGGAUCAACGCCACCGCCCUGCGUGUCAAGCUCCGCGCUGAGGAGGUGGAGAGCAUGAGCAAGGUGCUGCUCGGGCACAUGGGCAUGGGCGCAGCUGAGCCCAGGCAGCCCUGACCCAGGCGGCCUCCCUGCAGGUGGCCUCCAAGAAGU
rnacentral:sRNA from 1 species